rnacentral:rRNA from 1 species
ACGCCGCGUGAGGGAUGAAGGCCUCUGGGCUGWAAACCUCUUUUCUCAAGGAAGAAGACCUGACGGUACUUGAGGAAUAAGCCACGGCUAAUUCCGUGCCAGCAGCCGCGGUAAUACGGGAGUGGCAAGCGUUAUCCGGAAUUAUUGGGCAGUAAAGCGUCCGCAGGCAGGCCCUGUAAGUCUGUCGUUAAAGCGUGGAGCUUAACUCCAUUUAAGCGAUGGAAACUACAGGGCUUGAGUGUGGUAGGGGCAGAGGGAAUUCCCGGUGUAGCGGUGAAAUGCGUAGAUAUCGGGAAGAACACCAGUGGCGAAGGCGCUCUGCUGGGCCAUAACUGACGCUCAUGGACGAAAGCCAGGGGAGCG